rnacentral:rRNA from 7 species
UUAAGUUAUUAAGGGCGCACGGUGGAUGCCUUGGCACUAGAAGCCGAUGAAGGACGUUACUAACGACGAUAUGCUUUGGGGAGCUGUAAGUAAGCUUUGAUCCAGAGAUUUCCGAAUGGGGAAACCCAGCAUGAGUUAUGUCAUGUUAUCGAUAUGUGAAUACAUAGCAUAUCAGAAGGCACACCCGGAGAACUGAAACAUCUUAGUACCCGGAGGAAGAGAAAGAAAAUUCGAUUCCCUUAGUAGCGGCGAGCGAAACGGGAAGAGCCCAAACCAACAAGCUUGCUUGUUGGGGUUGUAGGACACUCUAUACGGAGUUACAAAGGACGACAUUAGACGAAUCAUCUGGAAAGAUGAAUCAAAGAAGGUAAUAAUCCUGUAGUCGAAAAUGUUGUCUCUCUUGAGUGGAUCCUGAGUACGACGGAGCACGUGAAAUUCCGUCGGAAUCUGGGAGGACCAUCUCCUAAGGCUAAAUACUCUCUAGUGACCGAUAGUGAACCAGUACCGUGAGGGAAAGGUGAAAAGCACCCCGGAAGGGGAGUGAAAUAGAACCUGAAACCGUGUGCUUACAAGUAGUCAGAGCCCGUUAAUGGGUGAUGGCGUGCCUUUUGUAGAAUGAACCGGCGAGUUACGAUUUGAUGCAAGGUUAAGCAGUAAAUGUGGAGCCGUAGCGAAAGCGAGUCUGAAUAGGGCGUUUAGUAUUUGGUCGUAGACCCGAAACCAGGUGAUCUACCCUUGGUCAGGUUGAAGUUCAGGUAACACUGAAUGGAGGACCGAACCGACUUACGUUGAAAAGUGAGCGGAUGAACUGAGGGUAGCGGAGAAAUUCCAAUCGAACCUGGAGAUAGCUGGUUCUCUCCGAAAUAGCUUUAGGGCUAGCCUCAAGUGAUGAUUAUUGGAGGUAGAGCACUGUUUGGACGAGGGGCCCCUCUCGGGUUACCGAAUUCAGACAAACUCCGAAUGCCAAUUAAUUUAACUUGGGAGUCAGAACAUGGGUGAUAAGGUCCGUGUUCGAAAGGGAAACAGCCCAGACCACCAGCUAAGGUCCCAAAAUAUAUGUUAAGUGGAAAAGGAUGUGGCGUUGCCCAGACAACUAGGAUGUUGGCUUAGAAGCAGCCAUCAUUUAAAGAGUGCGUAAUAGCUCACUAGUCGAGUGACACUGCGCCGAAAAUGUACCGGGGCUAAACAUAUUACCGAAGCUGUGGAUUGUCCUUUGGACAAUGGUAGGAGAGCGUUCUAAGGGCGUUGAAGCAUGAUCGUAAGGACAUGUGGAGCGCUUAGAAGUGAGAAUGCCGGUGUGAGUAGCGAAAGACGGGUGAGAAUCCCGUCCACCGAUUGACUAAGGUUUCCAGAGGAAGGCUCGUCCGCUCUGGGUUAGUCGGGUCCUAAGCUGAGGCCGACAGGCGUAGGCGAUGGAUAACAGGUUGAUAUUCCUGUACCACCUAUAAUCGUUUUAAUCGAUGGGGGGGACGCAGUAGGAUAGGCGAAGCGUGCGAUUGGAUUGCACGUCUAAGCAGUAAGGCUGAGUAUUAGGCAAAUCCGGUACUCAUUAAGGCUGAGCUGUGAUGGGGAGAAGACAUUGUGUCUUCGAGUCGUUGAUUUCACACUGCCGAGAAAAGCCUCUAGAUAGAAAAUAGGUGCCCGUACCGCAAACCGACACAGGUAGUCAAGAUGAGAAUUCUAAGGUGAGCGAGCGAACUCUCGUUAAGGAACUCGGCAAAAUGACCCCGUAACUUCGGGAGAAGGGGUGCUCUUUAGGGUUAACGCCCAGAAGAGCCGCAGUGAAUAGGCCCAAGCGACUGUUUAUCAAAAACACAGGUCUCUGCUAAACCGUAAGGUGAUGUAUAGGGGCUGACGCCUGCCCGGUGCUGGAAGGUUAAGAGGAGUGGUUAGCUUCUGCGAAGCUACGAAUCGAAGCCCCAGUAAACGGCGGCCGUAACUAUAACGGUCCUAAGGUAGCGAAAUUCCUUGUCGGGUAAGUUCCGACCCGCACGAAAGGCGUAACGAUUUGGGCACUGUCUCAACGAGAGACUCGGUGAAAUCAUAGUACCUGUGAAGAUGCAGGUUACCCGCGACAGGACGGAAAGACCCCGUGGAGCUUUACUGUAGCCUGAUAUUGAAAUUCGGCACAGCUUGUACAGGAUAGGUAGGAGCCUUUGAAACGUGAGCGCUAGCUUACGUGGAGGCGCUGGUGGGAUACUACCCUAGCUGUGUUGGCUUUCUAACCCGCACCACUUAUCGUGGUGGGAGACAGUGUCAGGCGGGCAGUUUGACUGGGGCGGUCGCCUCCUAAAAGGUAACGGAGGCGCUCAAAGGUUCCCUCAGAAUGGUUGGAAAUCAUUCAUAGAGUGUAAAGGCAUAAGGGAGCUUGACUGCGAGACCUACAAGUCGAGCAGGGUCGAAAGACGGACUUAGUGAUCCGGUGGUUCCGCAUGGAAGGGCCAUCGCUCAACGGAUAAAAGCUACCCCGGGGAUAACAGGCUUAUCUCCCCCAAGAGUUCACAUCGACGGGGAGGUUUGGCACCUCGAUGUCGGCUCAUCGCAUCCUGGGGCUGUAGUCGGUCCCAAGGGUUGGGCUGUUCGCCCAUUAAAGCGGUACGCGAGCUGGGUUCAGAACGUCGUGAGACAGUUCGGUCCCUAUCCGUCGUGGGCGUAGGAAAUUUGAGAGGAGCUGUCCUUAGUACGAGAGGACCGGGAUGGACAUACCUCUGGUGUACCAGUUGUCGUGCCAACGGCAUAGCUGGGUAGCUAUGUGUGGACGGGAUAAGUGCUGAAAGCAUCUAAGCAUGAAGCCCCCCUCAAGAUGAGAUUUCCCAACUUCGGUUAUAAGAUCCCUCAAAGAUGAUGAGGUUAAUAGGUUCGAGGUGGAAGCAUGGUGACAUGUGGAGCUGACGAAUACUAAUCGAUCGAAGACUUAAUCAA